rnacentral:rRNA from 1 species
GAUGAACGCUGGCGGCGUGCCUAAUACAUGCAAGUCGAGCGAACAGAUGAGGAGCUUGCUCCUCUGACGUUAGCGGCGGACGGGUGAGUAACACGUGUAUAACCCACCUAUAAGACUGGGAUAACUUCGGGAAACCGGAGCUUAUACCGGAUAAUAUAUUGAACCGCAUGGUUCAAUAGUGAAAGACGGUUUUGCUGUCACUUAUAGAUGGAUCCGCGCCGCAUUAGCUAGUUGGUAAGGUAACGGCUUACCAAGGCAACGAUGCGUGGCCGACCUGGGAGGGUGAUCGGCCACACUGGAACUGAGACACGGUCCAGACUCCUACGGGAGGCAGCAGUAGGGAAUCUUCCGCAAUGGGCGAAAGCCUGACGGAGCAACGCCGCGUGAGUGAUGAAGGUCUUCGGAUCGUAAAACUCUGUUAUUAGGGAAGAACAAAUGUGUAAGUAACUAUGCACGUCUUGACGGUACCUAAUGAGAAAGCCACGGCUAACUACGUG